rnacentral:rRNA from 1 species
AGUCGGACGGUAGAGAUUCUUUCGGGGAUUUUGAGAGUGGCGCACGGGUGCGUAACGCGUAUGCAACCUGCCUUUUACCGGGGGAUAGCCCGGGGAAACCCGGAUUAAUACCCCAUAGUAUCAGGAGACGGCAUCGUUUUCUGAUUAAAGCCCCGGGAUCUAUCGGGGCGGUAGAAGAUGGGCAUGCGUAGGAUUAGCUUGUUGGCGGGGUAACGGCCCACCAAGGCGACGAUCCUUAGGGGUUCUGAGAGGAAGGUCCCCCACACUGGCACUGAGAUACGGGCCAGACUCCUACGGGAGGCAGCAGUAGGGAAUACUGGGCAAUGGUCGGAAGACUGACCCAGCCAUGCCGCGUGCAGGAAGACGGCCUUACGGGUUGUAAACUGCUUUUAUACGGGAAGAAAAAGCAACUGCGGUUGAAAUUGCCGGUACCGUAUGAAUAAGCACCGGCUAACUCCGUGCCAGCAGCCGCGGUAAUACGGAGGGUGCGAGCGUUGUCCGGAUUUAUUGGGUUUAAAGGGUGCGCAGGCGGCCUGAUAAGUCAGCGGUGAAAUACUCCGGCUCAACCGGAGGGGUGCCGUUGAUACUGUUUGGCUUGAGUGCGGUCUACGUACAUGGAAUUUAUGGUGUAGCGGUGAAAUGCAUAGAUACCAUAAGGAACACCGAUAGCGAAGGCAUUGUACGGGGCCGUAACUGACGCUGAGGCACGAAAGCGUGGGUAGCGAACAGGAUUAGAUACCCUGGUAGUCCACGCCGUAAACGAUGAUCACUCGCUGUUAUCCCGUAAUGGGGGUAGUGGCCAA